GGACGGGUGAGUAAUGUCUGGGAAACUGCCUGAUGGAGGGGGAUAACUACUGGAAACGGUAGCUAAUACCGCAUAAUGUCGCAAGACCAAAGUGGGGGACCUUCGGGCCUCAUGCCAUCAGAUGUGCCCAGAUGGGAUUAGCUGGUAGGUGAGGUAAUGGCUCACCUAGGCGACGAUCCCUAGCUGGUCUGAGAGGAUGACCAGCCACACUGGAACUGAGACACGGUCCAGACUCCUACGGGAGGCAGCAGUGGGGAAUAUUGCACAAUGGGCGCAAGCCUGAUGCAGCCAUGCCGCGUGUAUGAAGAAGGCCUUCGGGUUGUAAAGUACUUUCAGCGAGGAGGAAGGCGUUGAGGUUAAUAACCUUGGCGAUUGACGUUACUCGCAGAAGAAGCACCGGCUAACUCCGUGCCAGCAGCCGCGGUAAUACGGAGGGUGCAAGCGUUAAUCGGAAUUACUGGGCGUAAAGCGCACGCAGGCGGUCUGUUAAGUCAGAUGUGAAAUCCCCGGGCUCAACCUGGGAACUGCAUUUGAAACUGGCAGGCUUGAGUCUUGUAGAGGGGGGUAGAAUUCCAGGUGUAGCGGUGAAAUGCGUAGAGAUCUGGAGGAAUACCGGUGGCGAAGGCGGCCCCCUGGACAAAGACUGACGCUCAGGUGCGAAAGCGUGGGAGCAAACAGGAUUAGAUACCCUGGUAGUCCACGCUGUAAACGAUGUCGACUUGGAGGUUGUUCCCUUGAGGAGUGGCUUCCGGAGCUAACGCGUUAAGUCGACCGCCUGGGGAGUACGGCCGCAAGGUUAAAACUCAAAUGAAUUGACGGGGGCCCGCACAAGCGGUGGAGCAUGUGGUUUAAUUCGAUGCAACGCGAAGAACCUUACCUACUCUUGACAUCCAGAGAACUUAGCAGAGAUGCUUUGGUGCCUUCGGGAACUCUGAGACAGGUGCUGCAUGGCUGUCGUCAGCUCGUGUUGUGAAAUGUUGGGUUAAGUCCCGCAACGAGCGCAACCCUUAUCCUUUGUUGCCAGCGAUUCGGUCGGGAACUCAAAGGAGACUGCCAGUGAUAAACUGGAGGAAGGUGGGGAUGACGUCAAGUCAUCAUGGCCCUUACGAGUAGGGCUACACACGUGCUACAAUGGCAUAUACAAAGAGAAGCGACCUCGCGAGAGCAAGCGGACCUCAUAAAGUAUGUCGUAGUCCGGAUUGGAGUCUGCAACUCGACUCCAUGAAGUCGGAAUCGCUAGUAAUCGUAGAUCAGAAUGCUACGGUGAAUACGUUCCCGGGCCUUGUACACACCGCCCGUCACACCAUGGGAGUGGGUUGCAAAAGAAGUAGGUAGCUUAACCU
rnacentral:rRNA from 1 species